CCUACGGGAGGCAGCAGUAGGGAAUUUUCGGCAAUGGGGGGAACCCUGACCGAGCAACGCCGCGUGAACGAAGAAGUUAUUCGUAAUGUAAAGUUCUUUUAACAGGGAAGAAAGAGAAAUUUGACGGUACCUAAAGAAUAAGCUCCUGCUAACUACGUGCCAGCAGCCUCGGUAAUACGUAGGGAGCGAUCGUUAUCCGGAAUUAUUGUGCGAAAAGGGUUCGUAGAUGGCAUAGUAAGUCUUUUGUAAAAAUGCUGGGCUCAACACAGUAUGGCAAAAGUUACUGCAAAGCUAGAGUAUGACAGAGGCAAGUGGAACUACAUGUGUAGCGGUAAAAUGCGUAAAUAUAUGUAAGAACACCAGUGGCGAAGGCGACUUGCUGGGUCGAUACUGACAUUGAGGCACGAAAGCGUGGGGAGCAAACAGGAUUAGAUACCCUAGUAGUC
rnacentral:rRNA from 1 species